AGUCGUUCUGCCCAUUGUAUUUUAAAGGCUGCAGUAUCCUAACUGUACAAAGGUAGCAUAAUAAAUAGUUUUUUAAUUGAAAACUUGAAUGAAUGAAUUGAUAAAAUAUAAAUUGUCUCUAAUAUUGAAAUUAAAUUAAAAGUAAAAAUGCUUUUAUAUGAUUAUUAGACGAUAAGACCCUAAGAAUUUUAAUUUAUUAAAUAAUUUUUAAUUUUAAUGUGAUUUAAUAAUUUUUGUUGGGAGGAUAAUUAAAUAAAACUUUAAUUAUAAUAAAUAAUUUAAUUAAAUUUUAUGAUUAUUAUUAUAAUUAUAAGCAAUAAUUACCUUAGGGAUAACAGCGUAAUAAUUUUGGAUAGUUCAUAUUGAUAAAAUUGAUUGCGACCUCGAUGUUGAAUUAAAAUAAAAUUUAAAUGGAGAUAUUUAAUUUUUUAGUCUGUUCGACUAUUAAAAUUUUAC
rnacentral:rRNA from 1 species